GACGAACGCUGGCGGCGUGCUUAACACAUGCAAGUCGAACGGAAAGGCCCUGCUUUUGUGGGGUGCUCGAGUGGCGAACGGGUGAGUAACACGUGAGUAACCUGCCCUUGACUUUGGGAUAACUUCAGGAAACUGGGGCUAAUACCGGAUAGGAGCUCCUGCUGCAUGGUGGGGGUUGGAAAGUUUCGGCGGUUGGGGAUGGACUCGCGGCUUAUCAGCUUGUUGGUGGGGUAGUGGCUUACCAAGGCUUUGACGGGUAGCCGGCCUGAGAGGGUGACCGGCCACAUUGGGACUGAGAUACGGCCCAGACGCCUACGGGAGGCAGAAGUGGGGAAUAUUGCACAAUGGGCGGAAGCCUGAUGCAGCAACGCCGCGUGCGGGAUGACGGCCUUCGGGUUGUAAACCGCUUUCGCCUGUGAUGAAGCGUGAGUGACGGUAAUGGGUAAAGAAGCACCGGCUAACUACGUG
rnacentral:rRNA from 1 species